GACGAACGCUGGCGGCGUGCUUAACACAUGCAAGUCGAACGGUGAAGCGCCUUCCUUUUUGGUGGGUGUGGAUGAGUGGCGAACGGGUGAGUAACACGUGAGUAACCUGCCCCCUUCUUCUGGAUAACCGCAUGAAAGUGUGGCUAAUACGGGAUAUUCUGGGUCUGUCGCAUGAUGGGUCUGGGAAAGAUAUUGUUUCGGUGGGGGAUGGGCUCGCGGCCUAUCGGCUUGUUGGUGGGGUGAUGGCCUACGAAGGCGGUGACGGGUAGCCGGCCUGGGAGGGUGGACGGUCACACUGGGACUGAGACACGGCCCGGACUGCUACGGGAGGCAGCAGUGGGGAAUAUUGCACAGUGGGCGCAAGCCUGAUGCAGCGACGCCGCGUGAGGGAUGGAGGCCUUCGGGUUGUGAACCUCUUUCGCCAGUGAAGCAGGCCUGCCUCGUUUGUGGGUGGGUUGACGGUAGCUGGAUAAGAAGCGCCGGCUAACUACGUG
rnacentral:rRNA from 1 species